CUCCGGGCUCCAACGCCCCGGGACAGGACGGCGGCCGCCUGGCGGGCUCGGCCUGGGGCUGGGGAUGGGCCCAUGCAGCGCCGCGGGGCGGGAAGGUCAUGCGGCCGGAUACGCCCACUUGCUGGCACGCAGGCGCAGAGCGCGCCCCUGCCCCACGGCGCCGCCAGUGCGCAAGCGCGGCGGCCGACGCGAGCGUCUGUGCGGCGAGAAGAUGGCGGCGGCGGGGAACGCGGCGUGAGGAGCCGGAGCAGCGCCGAGUCCCAUUGAAACGGGGCGCCAUGGCCCUCCACGGCCCGCAGUAUAUUUUUGGAGAUUUUAGCCCUGAUGAAUUCAAUCAGUUCUUUGUGACGCCUCGCUCUUCAGUUGAGCUCCCCCCGUACAGUGGAACAGCUCUGUGUGGCACUCAGGCUGCGGACGAACUGCCUGAUGGACAAGAGUAUCAGAGAAUUGAGUUCGGUGUCAAUGAAGUAAUUGACCCCAGUGACACUCUGCCGAGAGCCCCCGGCAACAGUAUUUCAAGCACAUUGAACCCUCAGGCCCCUGAAUUUAUUCUUGGUUGUACAGCUUCCAAAAAGACCCCUGAUGGGCUAGACCAGGAGGUGAACUCCAGCUCCCUUGACCACCCAUACCCGGGCCCAGCCCUGGCCUUGGACAGCAGCUCGCAUGCUGAGGCAGAGGCUCUGGAGAACACUGGUGGCCCAGGUGGCCUGGGACAGAGGGAGCGGAAAAGGAAGAAGAAGCGGCCCCCAGGGUAUUACAGUUACCUGAAAACUGGGGGUGACGAAAGUAUUUCCACAGAAGCUGUGGUCAACGGCCAUGCCAACUCAGCUGGCCUCGGUGGGGUGGGCGCCGAGGAUGCGGAGUUUAUGGGUGACAUGCUCCCGCCGGUUUCGCCCAGGACUUGUGACAGCCCUCAGAACUCCACGGACUUCAUCAGUGACACUGUGCCUGAUAGUCCUUACCCUGGAGCGCUCGACAGCGCCGCCAGGACUGUGGGGCAGCCCGAGGGCUGCUGUGGGCCUGACUUUGAGCAAGCCUGCCUCCCCGCAGACCGCCUGCUAAGGACAGCUGUGGCUCCGCCCUGUGCUGCUACCGAUACUACUGAGAACCUUGGCAUCACCAAUGGACAAGUACUUGAAUCCUCGAGUGUGGGCACAGCUGCCAACGGGGAGCUGCACACUGUGGAGAGCACAGACUCAGACGUGGCCAAGCUGGAGCGUGCGCCACCUCCCGCUGACAGCGUACUCCCUGCACCCAUUCCCAUUAACCAGCCUGCCAAGUCCUGGGCCAGCCUCUUUCAUGAUGCUAAGCCCUCUUCCUCCUCACCCGUGGCGUAUGUGGAAACUAAGUGUUCACCUCCUGCCCCAUCUCCCCUGGUCUCUGAAAAGCAGGUUGAAGUCAAAGAAGGGCUUGUUCCAGUUUCAGAGGAUCCCGUAGCCAUGCAGAUCGCAGAGUUACUGGAGAACGUAACCCUAGUACAUAAGCCAGUGUCAUUGCAACCCCGCGGGCUGAUCAAUAAAGGAAACUGGUGCUACAUUAAUGCUACUCUGCAGGCGUUGGUCGCUUGCCCUCCGAUGUACCACCUCAUGAAGUUCAUUCCUCUGUACUCCAAGGUGCAGAGGCCUUGCACGUCGACGCCCAUGAUAGAUAGCUUUGUUCGGCUAAUGAACGAGUUUACCAACAUGCCUGUGCCUCCGAAGCCCCGCCAAGCUCUUGGAGAUAAAAUCGUGAGGGACAUCCGGCCUGGAGCUGCCUUUGAGCCCACGUACAUUUACAGACUCCUGACCGUCAUCAAGUCGAGCCUGUCUGAAAAGGGUCGACAGGAAGAUGCUGAGGAGUACCUGGGCUUCAUCCUAAACGGCCUGCACGAGGAGAUGCUGAGCCUGAAGAGGCUCCUCUCACCGGACAGUGAAAAACUCACGGUUUCCAAUGGGCCCAGAAGCCCCUUGCCCAAGGACGCAGCACAGCAAGAGCAAGGUGAAGGCAGCGAGGAGGAGUGGGAGCAAGUGGGCCCCAGGAACAAGACGUCGGUCACCCGCCAGGCGGAUUUCGUUCAGACCCCAAUCACUGGCAUUUUUGGCGGACACAUCAGGUCGGUGGUUUACCAGCAGAGUUCAAAAGAGUCUGCCACCCUGCAGCCAUUUUUCACAUUGCAGCUGGAUAUCCAGUCUGACAAGAUACGCACCGUGCAGGAUGCGCUCGAGAGCCUGGUGGCGAGAGAAUCUGUCCAGGGUUACACCACGAAAACCAAACAAGAGGUGGAGAUCAGCCGGCGGGUGACUCUGGAGAAGCUGCCUCCUGUCCUUGUGCUGCACCUGAAGCGCUUCGUGUAUGAGAAGACUGGCGGCUGCCAGAAGCUGGCCAAGAACAUCGACUACCCCGUGGACCUGGAGAUCAGCAGGGAACUGCUUUCUCCAGGGGUUAAAAAUAAGAAUUUUAAAUGCCAUAGGACCUACAGGCUCUUCGCAGGAUUCCCCACACUCGAGGAGAGAAGUCAGUCUUCUGUGGCCUGCAGGGCCGGCAGACCCCUGUCUGCCUCAGCUGCUCCCGUGCUCCUAGGAAGUCUGAUUGGGUCCUGGCCUGCGUGGAUGUCCUCAGCUCUCCUGGCCUCCCGAGCCCACCUCAAGCUCCUUCUCUGCACCACACCGGCGUAGUCCUGGGCAGGGUUGGGGAGUCCUUGUCUCUGGGUCCAGGGCCCCGGAUGAGUGCAGGCCCUCCCCACCUGCCCUCUGCACCCUAAUCUUGACUCUUGUCUUGGAAAUAAGGUCACCAGGCUGCUUAGAAUUCUCUGUAAAAUGUGAGUAAAGAAUUAUUUUUUUAAAUGGUUCUGAUUGUGGGACUGAGGAAAAUUAAAUAAUGUGCAUUCUCAAAAACGAAACUUUGAAGAGCUUUCACAGACUGGUCCUCCAUUGUGGUCCUGUUGGUGGGGUCGCCAGCAGGGCUGUGGUGUCCCCUGGCUGCUCUGAAGAGCCCAGGGUGCGGCGGCGCACAGCUCUGCUGAAGCAUCUGUGGCCAUGUCCCGGGGACACAGACCCACAGCCUCAGGCCCUGGCAUCCUGCCACACAGUCACUGAACAGUGUGCAGCUUGGAGCUGGAAAGGAGGACAGAGUUCCAAAGCAAAUCUGGGGUCCCUUUGUCAGUCACCCGGAUCCCUGGGCCCCACAUGGCGUCUCCUUGAGUCUGUGGCCAGGGAGCGACAGCACCUCUUGGCACACCCCUGCCGUCCUCUAGCCCUGGGGUCCCUGCCCUGGGUGGCCCUGUGGCCACAUCUCAGUGCUGGGGCUUGUCCCCCGGACGCCGUGGGUCCUCACACCCGCCCAGGCCCACGUCCCCCGGCCACUGGCUCUGCUCCUGCCGCGGAGGGGAGCACAUCGCCCAGAGAGCCUCUGGGUCUGAAGCCUUGACCAGGGCUUCUUGGUUGGGCUACAGGGUUUUAAAAGAAGUAAGUAACGAGUGGUAUUUUUAUCUAUUAAGACCGCUGUAGGAAAAUGAGCGGUCCCUGGCGCGGCCUCUGCAGGGUCCCCACAGCUCCGGCUCCGCCCGCACUGCUGUGGGCCUCCCGUGCCCCGCUCCCCGCUCCCCACAGGCCACGCUCUCCUCGCCCUGCAGUGGUCUACCAUCACGGCAACAGCGCCACGGGCGGGCACUACACCACCGACGUCUUCCAGAUCGGGCUCAACGGCUGGCUGCGCAUCGACGACCAGGUGGUCAAGGUGAUCCAGCAGUACCAGGUGCUGAAGCCCGCCGCCGAACGCACCGCCUACCUCCUGUAUUACCGCCGUGUGGACCU